ACCAAAGGGGGAUAUGCUGUGAAGCCUGUGAAGACAGAUCAAGUGAAGACAGACCAAAGACCAAAGAAGGGGGAUAUGCUGUGAAGCCUGUGAAGACAGAUCAAGUGAAGACAGAAAAAGAAGGGGGAUAUGCUGUGAAGCCUGUGAAGACAGAUCAAGUGAAGACAGACCAAAGAAGGGGGGAUAUGCUACAGAUCAAGUGAAGACAGACCAAAGAAGGGGGGAUAUGCUGUAAAGCCUGUGAAGACAGAUCAAGUGAAGACAGACCAAAGAAGGGGGGAUAUGCUGUGAAGCCUGUGAAGACAGAUCAAGUGAAGACAGACCAAAGAAGGGGGGAUAUGCUGUGAAGCCUGUGAAGACAGAUCAAGUGAAGACAGACCAAAGAAGGGGGGAUAUGCUGUGAAGCCUGUGAAGACAGACCCAACCAAAACUGCUACAUAGACAGGCUCCUGGAUCUCCUCUUCAGCAAGGUCACCCUUGAUCCAGUGCCUUAUGUGGGGAAGAUGUGCGAGCUGUCCAUCCCAGAACCCAUCUGCCCAGUGUGAGAGGCCUGACAAGGAGGAGGCCAUAUCUGGAUUUGUCUCCAGCUUCAAUCUUCGGGGUGUCUGAAGUCAAGUGGGUGACUGAAGCCUGCUUUAUUGAAGCAGGGUACAUGGUCCCCCUCCUCUCCCGAUCCCGUCCCAUCAAUCUCUGUAGUUGGUUGCAUUUCCCAAAGCCUAAGUAAUUUACUUUUACAUGAUAUGAUAUCACAUUUUCUUUUACAAAGUUUUUUCUAACAUUUGGACGAGAGAUGAGAGUUACAAAUUGUAAGACUCAAUGGGGUCCUGCACACUGUAGGGCAGCAGGGUGCCUAUAUUGCGGCUUAUGGCUCUAUUUGAUUUUUUUUUAAAUGUCAAAUGAUGUCUCACCAUUAUUUCUUAACUUUAUUUCUCAUGAAUGUCCAUGUUGAUCAAUAUUUCAGAUAUGCUUGCCUCAUGUAAAUUAACAAAUAAAUGUCUGAUCAAUACAUACAAUUCUGAACAUAUUGUCAUUUAUAAUGCUAAUGCAGAGGCACCAAUCAAUUGUCCAGUACACUUAUUGUAUGCUGUUUUCAUGUACAUUCCCUUAUGUCUACGCUUCGGGGACUCAGACUUGACUAAUUCUGCUGAAGAAGUGUAUCAGUGAACAGUAUUCUGUAAUUAGAUACAAAACAAUAGAAAUGCAAUUGUGUAUUGCUGCUGUUUGACUGAUAUCUAACAGUCCAUUAUCAGCUCUUUUGAGAACAUUUUGUAGAGAAAAUGGGUUGAGGAAUACUAUUUAGGGUCAGAAUGACAUGUGGCCCAUUGCUUACCUGGUCAUCAUUGACAUGUGACCCAUUGUUUACCUUGUUUACCUUGUUACCUGGCAACGACCACAAGGGUGUUUCAAAGAGCUGUCAUUCAAGGCGAGCACAUGAUAUAAGCUCCCCGCCCACUCAGCCUGUUCUUUCAGGCUUCCUGAUAGUUAGAAAUGGGAGAAAGGGUACAAUUUCUUCAAUUCUGAGCAUUUUAAUAAUGUAAAAAUGUUAUGGGUGAUGUUUCGGUCAUUCAAAUUUUUACUUGAGAAAUCGGAUGACUGUGCGGGACCUUUAAAACAAUAAGACAAAAUAAUACAAUUCCACAUGGACAAUGCAGAAUAGGGUCCUAUUGUGCAUGGUGGUCCCAUAGAUCUGGUAAAGAGGUCAAUCGAUCUUGAACAAAACAAUGGAAUUGCCAUGGAAACGCGUGGGGGAAAGGGCUCCUCAUUGCCCCCCAGCAAAAUUAGCCUACAUUUAGGCUAUUGUUUGUAUGUGUAUUUCACACUAUGUUGGGGUAAACAUCGGAGUAUAAUACUUGUAUAGAUGCCAACCCCAACACGACGCUAAAUUGUAAUUAUUUCGCCUCUAUGGCCUAUUUAUUGCCUUACCUCCCUAAUCUUACUACAUUUGCACACACUGUACAUAUAUUUUUCUAUUGUGUUAUUGACUGUAUGUUUGUUAAUUCCACGUGUAACUCUGUUAAUGUUUGUGUGGCACUGCUUUGCUUUAUCUUGGCCAGGUCGUAGUUGUAAAUGAGAACUUGUUCUCAUCUGGCCUACCUGGUUAAAUAAAGGUGAAAUAAAA
ensembl:lncRNA